AGAGCGAACGCUGGCGGCAUGCUUAACACAUGCAAGUCGCACGGGCAGGGGAAACCCUGUCAGUGGCGGACGGGUGAGUAACGCGUAGGUAUCUGUCCAUGGGUGGGGGAUAACGGCGGGAAACUGCUGCUAAUACCGCAUGACACCUGAGGGUCAAAGGCGCAAGUCGCCUGUGGAGGAGCCUGCGUCCGAUUAGCUUGUUGGUGGGGUAAUGGCCUACCAAGGCUCCGAUCGGUAGCUGGUCUGAGAGGAUGAUCAGCCACACUGGGACUGAGACACGGGCCCAGACUCCUACGGAGGCAGCAGUGGGGAAUAUUGGACAAUGGGGGCAACCCUGAUCCAGCAAUGCCGCGUGGGUGAAGAAGGUCUUCGGAUUGUAAAGCCCGUUUCGGCGGGGACGAUGAUGACGGUACCGCAGAGAAGCCCCGGCUAACUUCGUGCCAGCAGCCGC
rnacentral:rRNA from 1 species